GACGAACGCUGGCGGCGUGCCUAAUACAUGCAAGUCGAGCGAAGUUUUUCUGGUGCCUGCACUAGAAAAACUUAGCGGCGAACGGGUGAGUAACACGUAAAGAACCUGCCUCAUAGACUGGGACAACUAUUGGAAACGAUAGCUAAUACCGGAUAACAGUAUUUCUCGCAUGAGAGAUAUUUAAAAGUUGGUUAUGCUAACACUAUGAGAUGGCUUUGCGGUGCAUUAGCUAGUUGGUGGGGUAAAGGCCCACCAAGGCGACGAUGCAUAGCCGACCUGAGAGGGUGAUCGGCCACACUGGGACUGAGACACGGCCCAGACUCCUACGGGAGGCAGCAGUAGGGAAUCUUCCGCAAUGGGCGAAAGCCUGACGGAGCAACGCCGCGUGAGUGAAGAAGGAUUUCGGUUCGUAAAGCUCUGUUGUUAGGGAAGAAUGGAUAUGUAGUAACUAUACAUGUAAGAGACGGUACCUAACCAGAAAGCCACGGCUAACUACGUG
rnacentral:rRNA from 1 species